rnacentral:snoRNA from 1 species
UCAACUGAUGAAUAGACAACCACAUUGUCUUUUUAUAUCCAGCGAUGAUUCUUUGAAUAUGUGCUCAGGAUAAUAACAUGCAUCACCAUCUGACU